rnacentral:rRNA from 1 species
CUAACGACUCUCGGCAACGGAUAUCUCGGCUCAUGCAUCGAUGAAGAACGUAGCGAAAUGCGAUACUUGGUGUGAAUUGCAGAAUCCCGUGAACCAUCGAGUCUUUGAACGCAAGUUGCGCCCGAAGCCAUUCGGCCGAGGGCACGUCUGCCUGGGCGUCACGC